rnacentral:rRNA from 1 species
AAUCAACGCUGGCGGCGUGCCUCAGACAUGCAAGUCGAACGCGAAAGUCCCCUUCGGGGGGCGAGUAGAGUGGCGCACGGGUGAGUAACACGUAGGUAAUCUACCUUUGGAUGGGGAAUAACAACCGGAAACGGUUGCUAAUACCGCAUAAUGCAGCGGCACCUAAUGGUGACAGUUGUUGAAGCGGGGGAUCGCAAGACCUCGCGUCUGAAGAGGAGCCUGCGGCAGAUUAGCUAGUUGGUAGGGUAACGGCUUACCAAGGCGAUGAUCUGUAGCCGGCCUGAGAGGGCGGUCGGCCACACUGACACUGACAUACGGGUCAGACUCCUACGGGAGGCAGCAGUCGGGAAUUUUGGGCAAUGGGCGAAAGCCUGACCCAGCAACGCCGCGUGAAGGAUGAAAUCCCUCGGGAUGUAAACUUCGCAAGAACGGGAAGAAUAAGUAAGAGUUAAUAUCUCUUAUGAUGACGGUACUGUUUGUAAGCUCCGGCUAACUCCGUGC